UUAGAACCAAGUGUGUCAAAUAUAAUUUUGAGUAAGGAAAGGCUGUACAAGCUAUGUGGCUGGAAUCUCAUUCACUUGAAGUUUUGGCACUAAUUGGGUUUCACUGGAUGCACCAAAUUUUCUCACCAACCGUUUGAUGAAAACUCUGAGGAUCAGGAUGGAUACGGGUACCUCCUUUUGUUCUUCGAACUAUCCAGGUUUUAGAAGAAUUGAUGUAGGCCAAGCAAAAUCGAGUUUAAAAGGAAGGGAUUGCGGAUUAUUGACACAAACAAGCAAGACCUCGAGAUAGAGACCUCCAAUAUGGUGAUCAUGUUUCCACGACAUCAAAGCUUGGAAAAGGCAACUUCUGAAAUGGAAUUUUAAAGGCAAGAAUGGUAUCGCAAACUAUAUUGAGGUAAUCAUCAUCACUCUUAGUUUUGGCUUGAUUUUCGAGGACGAAAAUUCUUUUUAGUGGGUAAUGGUGUAACAGACGGAGAAAUUUAAUUUGGAUUGCGGGCUCGAGUCUAACCCACGCAUUUGUUGUUGGGAUCGCGCAAUGUGGGUUCAUGAAUCCUAAUGUUGUCGUGCCUUGCAUUUGGAAUUGAGGUGAGUGCCUUGAGUCGUAAGUUAGGUGGCAUUAACUCAUUUAGCCAUCCCUUAUAAUUAGAGAAGAGUCUAAUUAAUGUUUCCAUGCACUUGACUAAGACUAAAGUUGACUACUUGACACCUGGGAGUGUAUGUGUCACAAUAAAAGAAUGGACAUUCUCGUCGUUUCAAAGUUUUUUUGUUCGUAAAUGUAAAAAUAUAAAUUUUAUUCUUUUUGUUCUGUCCGUCUCCCCCUCUCGUUCUUCACUCUCCCUCCCCUGUUGAUGAGAAGCAAAAGAAAAUCACAAUUUCUUUCCACGAACUCCGAAAACCCAUUUAUGGGAUUGAAAUGGUUGUUCUAAGAAAUUAUCACUUGUUCUUUCAAGACGUGGUGAUUGAUUUAUGUUGCUAUCUGCGUUACGAAUUUGGAGCUAACUCGAUGCAAUAAGACGGAAAGCUUACGAUAAGGGAGCUAUGGACACAAUAUCGGUAUAUGUUGUUGUCCUUGUAUAUAUAGAUAUCAUGGGCUGUGUUGGGUAGUUUUCCUAUGGGUGCUAAAUGACAUUUUCUUUACAUGUCUUUCUGCCUGUACAUGUGUACAAACUAAAGAAUUAUCUCGGGUUAGAAGGAAUAAUUUUUACACUCCUUUUGACUGUCCAGUUCUCAUUUUCAUUUUCUUCCAUCGUCAGCGUGUCGACAUUUCUUAAAUCAUAUUUGUUACCUAUUUGGAAUUCUUUUUAUUUGAACCAUAAUGUGUAUAUGUCAUUCUCUGUUUUGA